rnacentral:rRNA from 1 species
AAUACCCAUUGCGAAGGCGAUCUGCUGGAACUCAACUGACGCUAAGGCGCGAAAGAGUGGGGAGCAAACAGGAUUAGAUACCCUGGUAGUCCACGCCCUAAACGAUGUACACUAGUUGUUGGGGUGCUAUUCAUCUCAGUAAUGCAGCUAACGCAUUAAGUGUACCGCCUGGGGAGUACGGUCGCAAGAUUAAAAAUCAAAGGAAUAGACGGGGACCCGCACAAGCGGUGGAGCAUGUGGUUUAAUUCGA